CGCUGAAGAUGCUGAGAUGGACCCUAAAAAGUCCUUUAGACAC
rnacentral:tRNA from 1 species